GAUGAACGCUGGCGGCGUGCCUAAUACAUGCAAGUCGAGCGAACGGACGAGAAGCUUGCUUCUCUGAUGUUAGCGGCGGACGGGUGAGUAACACGUGGAUAACCUACCUAUAAGACUGGGAUAACUUCGGGAAACCGUAGCUAAUACCGGAUAAUAUUUUGAACCGCAUGGUUCAAAAGUGAAAGACGGUCUUGCUGUCACUUAUAGAUGGAUCCGCGCUGCAUUAGCUAGUUGGUAAGGUAACGGCUUACCAAGGCAACGAUGCAUAGCCGACCUGAGAGGGGGAUCGGCCACACUGGAACUGAGACACGGUCCAGACUCCUACGGGAAGCAGCAGUAGGGAAUCUUCCGCAAUGGGCGAAAGCCUGACGGAGCAACGCCGCGUGAGUGAUGAAGGUCUUCGGAUCGUAAAACUCUGUUAUUAGGGAAGAACAUAUGUGUAAGUAACUGUGCACAUCUUGACGGUACCUAAUCAGAAAGCCACGGCUAACUACGUG
rnacentral:rRNA from 1 species